GUGUGCUAAGUAUCAACAAUGGCCAGCAAAUCCAAAAAUAGAUCCAUCGGACGCAUGUUGUGCCGUGUGGCAAAAGGCAAACAUCCCAUGCCUUUGCGCUGGUGUCACCAAGGAGAAAGAGAAGAUAUAUUGUAUGGAGAAGGUUGGCUACGUUGCCAAUUUCUGCAAGAAGCCGUUCCCACAUGGCUACAGGUGCGGAAGUUACACAUUCCCUCCUAUGGCGUAGUGACUCUAGUUUAGUUGUGGGAGGAGAAGCUUGGCUUUUACAUUCCAUGUGCCUGGCCUCACAAUAGCUUUCCUUUCAGAUCUGUAAGUCGUGAGGUUGUGCUCAGAAAAGUUUAUGUUAAGCAUUUUGUAUGAGAACGUUUCUGAAACUAAUAAAGCCUUCUCCUCAAAUAGUCUAAAUUAUUUUUGCA